rnacentral:rRNA from 1 species
UACGAAGGGUGCAAGCGUUACUCGGAAUUACUGGGCGUAAAGCGUGCGUAGGUGGUUUGUUAAGUCUGUUGUGAAAGCCCCGGGCUCAACCUGGGAAUGGCAAUGGAUACUGGCAGGCUAGAGUGCGGUAGAGGGUAGUGGAAUUCCCGGUGUAGCGGUGAAAUGCGUAGAGAUCGGGAGGAACACCAGUGGCGAAGGCGGCUACCUGGACCAGCACUGACAUGGAGGCACGAAAGCGUGGGGAGCAAA